AUCCUGACUCUACCAUAGCACAUAUGCAAACGAGGAAUGUCAGACACAUACCAAAUAAUUCUGCGUCACAUCAGUUUGUUUGGGCAAAUGAGCCUAUGGCCAACAGAUUUGAUACAUCGGUUUCUGCGGAUCAGUUGGGACAGAUGGAACCCAAAAUGAAUCCGCAGCAGUUGAUGUUGUCACAUCAGCAGAUGGGAGCAAAUAAUAUAUACACGCCAAAUAGUCCAGGUGCACAGAAAUCUUCGUUACUCGCCAAACGGAAGGCUGGGAUGGAACCAUCAGUACAUGGUUCUUCACCUCAGACGCCAUCAAUGCCAAAUAAGCGCACUGCACUGGGAGCUUCUUUAUCCACAUCUCCUAGUUUUGCGCAGCAAUCUUCUGCUAUCAAGAAACCUGGACAGCAACAGUCAAAGUCAACUUCUGGAGGUUUACAAAGUCUUCCUGCGUCAGGCAAGAAAAUGGCACGAAAUGAAUCCAUAUCCAAUAAAACUGCCUCCCAGCGGUCGCAGACUCCAAUAGGACGAACAAUUCAAGCUGAGCCAACCUCCAAGGCUCGAUCUGAGUCCUCUGAUGCUGUGAGGUCCAAAAUGAGAGAAUCUCUUGCUUCAGCUCUGGCUAUGGCAUGUCAGAAUCUAGAUGCUGUUGUAAAUGCUGCCAAGGAUCCAAAUGAAGCAGUUGGUUCUCAGCCUUCGCAGGUGAAUGUAGCUCCAACAGCUGCCAGUGAAGGUCUAACUCAAACGUCUGCCUCACAUGAUCAUGUGCAUCAAAACUCCGGUGAUGUACUUCCUUCAGCUGGCGCUUUCCCUGUUGAUAAAACCAAUGACUGUCAGUGUUCAUCUCAUGGGCUUCAAGAUGACGUGAGCAUGAGAAACUCUAUACCUGGCUCUAGUGAGCUUGAAAUGCAUGUGGAUGAUGUUCCGUUCAGCGAAAACUUUUUUGUCAAAGAUGAACUUCUGCAAGGGAAUGGUCUCACUUGGGAGAUGGAUCUAGAUAUGCAGUUAAGAGAAGCUGACUUCCUCCAGGAUGCUGAAAAAGCCAAUUUGUUUGAUGAGGGUAUGGUUGGAGAUGAAGGCGAGCAUGCAAAAUCAUCUCCACAAGAUAUAGCUUUAAAAAUUGAGGCGGAACUUUUUAAAUUAUUUGGAGGCGUGAACAAAAAAUAUAAAGAGAAGGGCAGGUCUCUUCUAUGGUUGGAGAUGAAGGCGAGCAUGCAAAGUCAUCUCCACAGGAUAUAGCUUUAAAAAUUGAGGCGGAACUUUUUAAAUUAUUUGGAGGCGUGAACAAAAAAUAUAAAGAGAAGGGCAG
rnacentral:lncRNA from 1 species